GACAGAGGGUGCAAACGUUGCUCGGAAUUACUGGGCGUAAAGCGCGUGUAGGUGGUCACGCAAGUCAGAUGUGAAAGCCCCGGGCUUAACCUGGGAAUGGCAUUUGAGACUGCAUAGCUAGGGUGCGGAAGAGGGAAGCGGAAUUUCCGGUGUAGCGGUGAAAUGCGUAGAUAUCGGAAGGAACACCAGUGGCGAAAGCGGCUUCCUGGUCCAGCACCGACGUUCAGGCACGAAAGCGUGGGGAGCAAACAGG
rnacentral:rRNA from 1 species